AGGUGUGAUCAUACCGGCACUAAUGAUCCGGAUCCCAUCAGAACUUCGCAGGUAAGCAUGCUUGGGCAAUAGUAGUACUAGGAUGGGUGACCUCGUGGGAAGUCCUUGUGUUGCAUCUC
rfam:Lupinus angustifolius cultivar Tanjil chromosome LG15, whole genome shotgun sequence.